CUCUGCAUGGAUACGAGCAAUGCCUCUUGCUGCCCCUAGAGCAAUUUUCAUUCUGGUAUCCCAAUCUAGGGAGAUCCGCUCGCCUCCUCUUUUCCCAUGUAGCAUAGAAGAAACACUGCCCUGACUGUAAUAAUCAUACACCAUCAGCUUCUCAUCUUUGGAAUAGUAGUAAGCCCUCAGCUCAACCACAUUCUCAUGCUUUAUACUUCCAACAACCUCCAUCUGCUGCUCAAAAUCCCGCUUCCCGACGCUUACUUCCUUCAACCUCUUCACCACCACUGUGGUUGCAUCCUCCAGUAUUGCUUUAUAUGCAAUACCAAAUGUACCCUUUCCCAGUACCUCUGCUGACGCCCUCAAUAAAUCCUCCAGAUCAAAAGCAUAGUUACAUCCCUCAAAGAAAACCAAUCUAUUAUUAGCAUCCUGAGUCCUU
rnacentral:misc_RNA from 1 species